rnacentral:rRNA from 1 species
UACAUGUGGGGCAAGCGUUGUUCGGAAUUACUGGGCGUAAAGAGUGUGUAGGCGGUGCUCCAAGUCUGGUGUGAAAUCUCCCGGCUUAACUGGGAGGGUGCAUUAGAAACUGGAAUGCUAGAGGAUGGGAGAGGUAAGCGGAAUUCCUGGUGUAGCGGUGAAAUGCGUAGAUAUCAGGAGGAACACCUGUGGUGUAGACAGCUUACUGGACCAUUUCUGACGCUGAGACACGAAAGCGUGGGUAGCAAACAGG